CCCCAGACUCCUACGGGAGGCAGCAGUGAGGAAUAUUGGUCAAUGGUCGGGAGACUGAACCAGCCAAGCCGCGUGAGGGAUGAAGGUACAGAGUAUCGUAAACCUCUUUUGUCAGGGAACAAAGGCGGGGACGUGUCCCCGGAUGAGUGUACCUGAAGAAAAAGCAUCGGCUAACUCCGUGCCAGCAGCCGCGGUAAUACGGAGGAUGCGAGCGUUAUCCGGAUUUAUUGGGUUUAAAGGGUGCGCAGGCGGUCGGUUAAGUCAGGGGUCAAAGCCCGGGGCUCAACCCCGGUCCGCCGUUGAAACUGGCAGUCUCGAGUUGGAGAGAAGUAUGCGGAAUGCGCGGUGUAGCGGUGAAAUGCAUAGAUAUCGCGCAGAACUCCGAUUGCGAAGGCAGCCUACCGGCUCCUAUCUGACGCUGAGGCACGAAAGCGUGGGUAUCGAACAGGAUUAGAUACCCCUGUAAA
rnacentral:rRNA from 1 species